GGGGCUGAUUCUGGAUUCGACGGGAUUUGCGAAACCCAAGGUGCAUGCCGAGGGGCGGUUUGCCUCGUAAAAAGCCGCAAAAAAAUAGUCGCAAACGACGAAAACUACGCUUUAGCAGCUUAAUAACCUGCUAAGAGCCCUCUCUCCCUAGCUUCCGCUCUUAAGACGGGGAUCAA
rnacentral:tmRNA from 1 species